CUCUUAUGGGAGGGAGCCUGCACAGGUGGUGCAUGGUUGUCGUCAGCUCGUGUCGUGAGAUGUUGGGUUAAGUCCCGCAACGAGCGCAACCCUUGCAUCUAGUUGCCAGCGGGUGAAGCCGGGCACUCUAGAUGGACUGCCGUGGACAACACGGAGGAAGGUGGGGAUGACGUCAAAUCAUCAUGCCCUAUAUGCCCUGGGCCACACACGUGCUACAAUGGCCGGUACAGAGGGAGGCGAAGCCGCGAGGUGGAGCGGAACCCAAAAAGCCGGUCCAAGUUCGGAUUGCAGGCUGCAACUCGCCUGCAUGAAGGCGGAAUCGCUAGUAAUCGCGGAUCAGCAUGCCGCGGUGAAUACGUUCCCGGGCCUUGUACACACCGCCCGUCACACCACGAGAGUCUGCAACACCCGAAGCCGGUGA
rnacentral:rRNA from 1 species